ACUACAAACCCUGGUUGACUAACGCUCCAAAAGGACAGUUCCUUAGAACCAAAAGGAACUGCACAGAUGAAAAAGAUUUUUUUAGAACAAGCAAAAUAUUUGGAGCAACAAUUUAUUGAAAAAGGCUAUGAGAAAGAAAAUCUUCAAAGCAAUCUAGAACAAAUAAGCACUUUACCCAGACAGCAACUCCUUAAGUACAAACCAAAAGAUAAAAUCCAGCGAACUAACGAUGUACCUUUCAUCUGUAAUUACCAUGGAAACACCAGAAAAGUAAA